UGGGGAAUCUUGCACAAUGGGGGCAACCCUGAUGCAGCGACGCCGCGUGAGCGAUGAAGCCCUUCGGGGCGUAAAGCUCUUUCGACCGGAACGAUAAUGACGGUACCGGGAGAAGAAGCUGCGGCUAACUACGUGCCAGCAGCCGCGGUAAUACGUAGGCAGCAAGCGUUGUUCGGAGUUACUGGGCGUAAAGAGUGCGUAGGCGGUUUUCUAAGUUCGGUGUGAAAUCUCCCGGCUUAACCGGGAGGGUGCGCCGAAAACUGGUUGUCUGGAGUAUGGGAGAGGAAAGCGGAAUUCCUGGUGUAGCGGUGAAAUGCGUAGAUAUCAGGAGGAACACCUGCGGUGUAGACAGCUUUCUGGACCAAAACUGACGCUGAGGCACGAAAGCGUGGGUAGCAAACA
rnacentral:rRNA from 1 species